GGGGGCAUAGGCCAGUGCAGAGCAUUCGUCUGCAGAUCGAUAGGUCCCUGGUUCAAAUCCGGGUGCUCCCU
rnacentral:tRNA from 1 species